rnacentral:lncRNA from 1 species
AUUUUAGUACUUAUGUUAGAACCGUGGGAAGGUUGCUAAGGAAGCCCAAGGCUGCAGGGUCUGCACCACACUGGGCAGUCUGCACUCAGUGGAAAACAAAGGAUAAUUUUCAAGGCAGUGGAGGGAAGCUGAGACAUGCAUCUGCUGGAUGUAACACAUGGAUAUGGACACUGCUCCAUCUGGCAGUAUUGCACUCUCCUCUCCUUGUAAAAUCUGGUCAAUGGAGAGUUUCUAAAGAGGUGAGAUGUAAAGGAAAAAUUGUUGCCACAAAGUCAUUUUCCAGCCUGUUCAGAAAAUAUAAAGCAAAACAUAGUGAUUCGUUGCAAGACAAGGAGAGAUGGGUCCAAAUCUGUUUUUCAUAUACAAAUCUCAGAAUUCCUCUCUUAGGUCUACAAAGAAAUCUUAAAGGUUUAUGAAUAUUUAUUAAAAAAAACAAAACAAGAAACUGUCAGCAGGCAUCUACCUUUCAUCAUCACCUACAGCAAAUCUAAUUCAGUCCAUGAUAUUUCAAAAGAAUUUCUCACUGAAGUAUUUGAAAUACAUUACAUAACUAGGAGUGAGGAAGGGCCAUGAGUACUAACAGUACAAUGAGGUCAACAUCUUUCACUUCCUUUUAAUAAAAUACUAUAUUUUGCUUGUUAUGUGGAGUUU